GAUGAGAACGUAGCGAAAUGCGAUAAGUAAUGUGAAUUGCAGAAUUCAGUGAAUCAUCGAAUCUUUGAACGCACCUUGCGCUCCUUGGCAUUCCGAGGAGCAUGCCAGUUUGAGUGUCAUUAAAUUCUCAAGACCUGUCUGCUUUUUUGAUAGGUAUUGGAUUUUGGGGGUUGCAGGCUGUUUCAAAUAAAUAGCCUUGCUCUCCUUGAAUGUAUUAGUGGAGAAAAGCCAUUGAACUCCAUUGGUGUGAUAAAACCUAUCAAUGCCAGGAGCAAUAUCACUACUUCUCUCUGCUGUCUAACUGUGACUGUCUGUAUUAAUUAGUAUGGAUGGGGACAACUUGACCAACUUGACCUCAAAUCAGGUAGGACUACCCGCUGAACUUAAGCAUAUCAAUAAGCGGAGGA
rnacentral:misc_RNA from 1 species